GACGGGGAUAGCAUAGGCGGCCAAUGCAGCCGGGCUCAUCCUCCCGGUACAGGGCGCAGGCGACCACUCCUGCGCCUAGCGGGUUCGACUCCCGCCCCCGUCG
rnacentral:tRNA from 2 species